UGGGGAAUAUUGCACAAUGGGGGAAACCCUGAUGCAGCGACGCCGCGUGAACGAAGAAGGUAUUCGUAUCGUAAAGUUCUGUCCUAUGGGAAGAUAAUGACAGUACCAUAGAAGAAAGCUCCGGCUAAAUACGUGCCAGCAGCCGCGGUAAUACGUAUGGAGCGAGCGUUGUCCGGAAUUAUUGGGCGUAAAGGGUACGCAGGCGGUUUAAUAAGUCGAAUGUUAAAGAUCGGGGCUCAACCCCGUAAAGCAUUGGAAACUGAUAAACUUGAGUAGUGGAGAGGAAAGUGGAAUUCCUAGUGUAGUGGUGAAAUACGUAGAUAUUAGGAGGAAGACCAGUAGCGAAGGCGACUUUCUGGACACAAACUGACGCUGAGGUACGAAAGCGUGGGGAGCAAACAGG
rnacentral:rRNA from 1 species